rnacentral:rRNA from 1 species
GUCUAUGGCCAUGCCACUCUGAACAAGCCCAAUCCCGUCUGAUCUCGGAAGCUAAGCAGGGUCGGGCCUGGUUAGUACUUGGAUGGGAGACUACCUAGGAAGACCAGGUGCUGUAGGCG